GCCUCCUUAGCUCAGUGGUAGAGCACUUGCCUUGUAAGCAUGAUGUCAUCGGUUCAAUCCCGAUAGGAGGCU
rnacentral:tRNA from 2 species